rnacentral:lncRNA from 1 species
CCCCUUCGUUUUGCGCUAACAUAUCUUUUUUGAUACAUUGCGAUCGCGUUAUUAAAACUAUACAAACUUCAUAUUUUCUGCUCCAAGGCAUGAAUAUGUCAGUUUAUUUUUUAUUUAAAGCGUUUGAUUUUGUCAUUUUCUUUUCAUAAAUUUCACCUUUUUAAUUUUUCUUGGAGUUCGGUAUUAUUGUUACACUUUAUUAAUAGAAGCGGUGUGCAAUUUAAACGAAAACUGCUCCAACAUAUUUACGAGGAAGGUCGGCUUAUAUAGACACUACAAAAGUGUU